rnacentral:sRNA from 1 species
AGCUAAGGAACUUCUGCUAAGUUCCGUCACGUCCUGUGACGAACGCAGAAGUCAGCACAUCAUGUGCA